rnacentral:rRNA from 1 species
CCUACGGGAGGCAGCAGUGGGGGAUAUUGCACAAUGGGGGAAACCCUGAUGCAGCGACGCCGCGUGUGGGAAGACGGUCCUCUGGAUUGUAAACCACUUUCCUCAGGGACGAAGAUGCCGGUACCUGGGGAGGAAGCUCCGGCAAACUACGUGCCAGCAGCCGCGGUAAUACGUAGGGAGCGAGCUUUGUCCGGAAUUACUGGGGGUAAAGGGAGGGUAGGCGGGACUGCAAGUUGGGGGUAAAAUCUACCGGCUCAACCGGGAGCCGCACUCGAAACUGUAGUUCUUGAGUGAAGUAGAGGCAGGCGGAAUUCCUGGUGUAGGGGUGAAAUGCGUAGAUAUUAGGAGGAACACCGGUGGCGAAGGCGGCCUGCUGGGCUUUUACUGACGCUGAGGCUCGAAAGUGUGGGGAGCAAACAGGAUUAGAUACCCGGGUAGUC